rnacentral:rRNA from 1 species
UACGAAGGGGGCUAGCGUUGUUCGGAAUCACUGGGCGUAAAGCGCACGUAGGCGGAUAUGUCAGUCAGGGGUGAAAUCCCGAGGCUCAACCUCGGAACUGCCUCCGAUACAGCAUGUCUCGAGUCCGGAAGAGGUGAGUGGAAUUCCUAGUGUAGAGGUGAAAUUCGUAGAUAUUAGGAAGAACACCAGUGGCGAAGGCGGCUCACUGGUCCGGUACUGACGCUGAGGUGCGAAAGCGUGGGGAGCAAACAGG